GGGGGCAGCCGAGGAAGGGAGCCUAGCUGCAGCUCGAUGCGUUUAUUGUGCUUGGCAGCUGCCUGCAAAUGAGAAAGGAAAUAAUGCCGAUUUCCUACGCACGGAGUAACGCCAAGAAACUUGGAAGGGGCUCAGAUGUAAGAAGUUGGUACAUCCUCUGGAUUAAACCCCUUCAGGAGGGCUGUAAACAAUGUGAUGGCAUUUUCUCUGCACUCCCAAAAAUGUCUAAGACAGUGAGGGUUGCAAAGGCCAGGGCAGUUCUGGCAUUUGUGCAUGAAAAGCAGCAGCAUUCCCAUCCUGAGCAAAUAAACAGGGAGAACUGAAGGGUCUCCUUCUGCGGCUGCUGAGUCAACUGAUGAAGUGCCGGCAGGCAGGUUGUUAAUUUUCUGUGUUCAAGUGCUGUGCCUUUUGUGGUUAUCUGCUCCAUUUACUAUUUUAUCCAGUUUAGAGGUUAAAAAUGGGCCCUAAGAUUGCAGGAGGAGCUGUGGAAGGACAUGGAUUUCCUUUUGGAUCAUCACACUGAGGGCCAUUCUUCACAGAAAGAAAGAAGCUGAUUUCAGCCUCCUCUAAUCCCUGCAUUAGACUCCCAUUCACAACUAAAAUGGCUGCACCAUGACUUAAUUUAACUCCUUCAGAAACAAAGAGAACUUGAUCAAAUUCAAGAAGUUUAACUCCUUGAUAGGAGCAUGCCCAUGCGAGUUCAGUGUGGUUAAAUGAAUCCUCUGCAAUUUCACAUCUUUGACAAAUUUGGAAGGAUUUUACCAUAUAUCCUGACAUCCAUAAACCUCAGUCCAGGGAUCUAGGGAGCAUUUUGCUUCUUGAGGGACCAGGAGGACUUUCCAUCAUGUACGUUUAAUGUGAAUAAUCAAUAAAGCAAAGAAUUAAUAACAAUAUGGCCACAGGCUGUAAGCAGUGGAGUAAUGUAUGUUAUAAUCCCAGGUUUCAGGUAUUCCAUAAUUCAUUACUCAGAGUGAAGAUCAGACUCAGAUUUGUUCUUUGAACACACAGAUCGCUGGAAGCAGUGUGAGCAGUGAUUGCCAGGCCUCUAUUAAUUAACGUGGGUUGCAUCUUGUCUUUGUGACAAGUUGCAGUCAGCAUAAUAUCAAAAACCAUGCCUGCUGACUGCAUGUAUUGAAAAGGGCGGGUGCACCCUCCCCUUCCUUCUCAAAUCAUAACGCUGCCUCUAAGUCAAUAUAGCAGGGAUUGCUUUCAUUUGUUUUCGAGCUUCUGAGUUUCCUGUGUUUAAGCUUUGCUCAAUUGCAGAUCAAAAGAGAGAGAUGUCCAGUAAAAACUUUGUGAUGCCAUGAUUUGAAAAGCAGGAGCUUUAAGUAAAUUGCCACAUUUUCAUGUGAAAAUUGCAAUUCUGGGGCUGUCUGCAUUCCAAACAAGCCUUCCUGAAGUAUUUUAUUUAGAUAGGUUAUCAUUCCUGAUUAUCUACCUAGCACUGACAAUAGCUGUAAAGCCCCCAGAAAUGGUGGCAUUUCCAUUUAUUCCUGUGUUCAGCUUGCAGAACAUACUCAUGACAUGAAAAUACCAUAGAAAUGCGAGGUAAUUAUUAUCAUUAUGUAACUCCUUAGCAUUUGGGAGCAGAAUUAACAAUUUGAGUAGCGCCUAUAAGAAAACCAGAAUACAUUUCAGUAAGCCUGUCAUUUUUGAUCUCUUAAGUAAUCUUAAAUAAAAUUGCACUGGCUUAGUCAGUGGGGAAAAAAAUAGCAAGUUCUUAUAAUCUUCCCUGUGAUGAUAAUACAUGUAUUCCUUCAUUUAAAUAAAAUCUCUGAACAGCACCUGGAAUUUUAUGGAGAAAUCCUGCACUGGGGAUUUGAAUGCAGCACGCUUGCAUAUGAAAUGUCAGAAUUGUAAGGACAAGGACAGCAGUGAAAUUUAAAAGGUGACAGAUAAGACAGAUGGCUGAGCAGAAGUGGUCUGCAUUGCCAUGGAAAAAAGCCUGAUGCCAUCCUCAGCAGUCAGUGCUCAAGCUUGCAAGAGUCUGGCUGCUAUGGAAGCAUCUGAGCCAACCCUGGGUGUUGCAAUAUGCCAGUUUUCCAAGAAACAGAUUGAUGUACAAUGUGUACGAUUUUUUAUUUUCUUGAGGGAGGAGGGGAGACCUAUCUAUGGAUUUGGGGCUGUGAUUUGGCUUUGGAUUUUGUCUUAUCAAUGCAUUUAUUGACACCUCGGAAGAUUUCUUUGAAAUAGAGAUCAUAUUGUGCAUAUUAGCAUAUCCUUCUUGGAAAUUACGCCUGCUUUUUUCCCCACAGGGAAAGCAGAAAACCACUGUUUUGUACAGAAUAUACUGAUUUCUACUC